ensembl:lncRNA
GGUCACUGCGCUGGUUGGGGCGCUGAGCACGGGACCGGCCGGCUUCAGCCACGUCCAGGCCCCGGCUGGCCACCAGGUGAGCGCUCCCGAGCGCUCCCAACGCGUCGCGGGCGGCCGUGCGUCCACCAGGCCAAGUACAGGUCAUGGAGCGGCGCCCUGGGGGCGGCACGGACCCUAGGGGAAGCAAAGGAGGUGGUAAACAAAGCAGCCCUGGCGCCCGAGUGGCGGCGGCGGCGAGCGGCGGGGGCGGCGGCGGUGGAGGGCAGCGGCCCAGCGACCCCAGCUGGGCUCGAGGAGCCGCACCCACACCCACACCCACACCUGCGCCGCGGGGCGGCGCACCAGACCCCGGGACUCCAAGGAGUCUCGGGGGAGGCGGUGGCGGUCCCCAGCCCGAGGAUGCCAGCGCCAGACAGUUCCUGGCGCGGCUGAAAGCUCGCCCCCUGGCGGCCCGAGCUGCGGCCGACGUGGCGGCGCUGCCCUUAGAAUACCAGAAGGACAAUGACAUCAUGGAUUUGUCCCAAGAUGCCCUUGCCUCCUAGGAAGAGUUCCUGGCAUGUCAAGUACAGUCGGUUUUAAAAGCCUUGCGUUGUACUUCCCUGGUCGUGCAGUGGCUAAUGUUCAAGGCUCCCAAUGUAGGGGGCCAGGUUCAGUUACCUUGGGG